GUAGGUGGCAAGCGUUGUCCGGAAUUAUUGGGCGUAAAGCGCGCGCAGGCGGUUCUUUAAGUCUGAUGUGAAAGCCCACGGCUCAACCGUGGAGGGUCAUUGGAAACUGGAGAACUUGAGUACAGAAGAGGAAAGCGGAAUUCCGCGUGUAGCGGUGAAAUGCGUAGAGAUGUGGAGGAACACCAGUGGCGAAGGCGGCUUUCUGGUCUGUAACUGACGCUGAGGCGCGAAAGCGUGGGGAGCAAACAGGGAUUAGAUACCCUGGUAGUCCACGCCGUAAACGAUGAGUGCUAAGUGUUAGGGGGGUUUCCGCCCCCUUAGUGCUGCAGCUAACGCAUUAAGCACUCCGCCUGGGGAGUACGGCCGCAAGGCUA
rnacentral:rRNA from 1 species